GCAAGGGUUUCCCGGCAAUGCGUCGUCAGCCGGGAGUUAGCCGGUCCUAAGAACAACCUCAACAGAGUUGUCCGAAUGGGAAACUGGUUAAUAUUCCAGUGCCUUGAAAGAUCGUUAAUACCUGACCUGUCGCUUCCGGAUAAGGCGAGCAGAACCGUCGUUCUGUCUAAGUAUUCGAGUCUUAGGGAGUGCCGUAAUGGCGAGAACUAGGACGAGGUAUAAAUGGUCCUCCGCAAGGAGGAUUCGCUUAAAUCCAGGAGACAAUGAAAGCAGGGACAGGAAGAUUCUUUCAAGACCGUACCGAGAUCCGACACUGGUGCCCUGGAUUAGUAGUCUAAGGUCUGUCGGGCAUACCGUAAGGCGAGGGAACUCGGCAAAAUAGCUCCGUACCUAUGGUAUAAGGAGUGCCUGCAGCUUUUGCGAGGAGCAGGAGCUGCAGGUCGCAGUGACAAGGGGGUCCCGACUGUUUAAUAAAAACACAGGUGGUCGCUAGUCCGAAAGGAUGAGUAUGGCCUCUGUAUCCUGGCCAGUGGCGGUACCUAAAACCUGGGUUCAACUGGGCUAAGGGCCGCUAAACGCCGGGAGUAACUCUGACUCUCUUAAGGUAGCCAAAUGCCUUGUCGGGUAAGUUCCGACGUGCAUGAAUGGAACAACGAGGGCCCCGCUGUCCCCGCCUGCAGCCCGGUGAAGCCACAUAAUGUGGACGAACAGUCCACAAACCUCUGUCGGGGAGAGAAGACCCUGUGGAGCUUUACUGCAGCCUGUUGUUGCGGUAUGGUUGCGGAUGCAGAGCGUAGCUGGGAGCCUUCGAAACCUGCUCUCCGGGGCAGGUGGAGGCACCGAUGUAACACCAGCCAUUCGUUACCGUAUCGCUAACCCGUUCUCACGGGGACAGCGGCAGGUGGGCAGUUCGGCUGGGGCGGCACCCCCUUGAAAAAGUAUCGAGGGGGCCCAAAGAUUGGCUCAGGCGGGACAGAACUCCGCCGGUGAGGGCAAAGCCAAAAGCCAGUCUGACUGGAUUCCCAAUGAUACGGGAUUCAGAGGCGAAAGCCGGGCUUAGCGAUCCAUCAUGUCCCCACUAUUGGGGGCUGGUGGUGACAGAAAAGUUACCCUAGGGAUAACAGGCUCGUCGCGGGCGAGAGCUCCCAUCGACCCCGCGGUUUGGUACCUCGAUGUCGGCUCUUCCCAUCCUGGUUCUGCAGCAGGAGCCAAGGGUGGGGCUGCUCGCCCAUUAAAGGGGAACGUGAGCUGGGUUUAGACCGUCGUGAGACAGGUCGGUCUCUGCCUGACAGGGGCGUGGUUGUCUGAGGGGAAGUUGCCCCUAGUACGAGAGGAACAGGGCAGCGCAGCCUCUGGU
rnacentral:rRNA from 1 species